GACGGGGGGUCCUAGCGUUGUUCGGAAUCAUUGGGCGUAAAGCGUGUGCAGGUGGUUUGGUAAGUUGGAUGUGAAAGCCUUGGGCUUAACCCAAGAAGGGCAUUCAAAACUACCAAACUUGAGUAAGGAAGAGGGUCGUGGAAUUCCAGGUGUAGUGGUGAAAUACGUAGAUAUCUGGAGGAACACCCGGUGGCGAAGGCGG
rnacentral:rRNA from 1 species